AGCAGCCGCGGUAAUUCCAGCUCCAAUAGCGUAUAUUAAAGUUGUUGCAGUUAAAAAGCUCGUAGUUGAAUUUCGGGAUCAAUACGUCUGUCGUGCCUUUGGUACGUACGGGUGUAAUUGGUUUCUACCUUCUGAGGAUCCUUGAUGUCAUUAAUUUGGUGUCUUGGGGAAUCAGGACUGUUACCUUGAAAAAUUAGAGUGUUUAAAGCAGGCAUACGCUUGAAUACAUUAGCAUGGAAUAAUGAAAUAGGACGUUCGAUUCUAUUUUGUUGGUUUCUAGGAUCGACGUAAUGAUUAAUAGGGAUAGUUGGGGGCAUUAGUAUUCAAUUGUCAGAGGUGAAAUUCUUGGAUUUAUUGAAGACUAACUACUGCGAAAGCAUUUGCCAAGGAUGUUUUCAUUAAUCAAGAACGAAAGUUAGGGGAUCGAAGACGAUCAGAUACCGUCGUAGUCUUAACCAUAAACUAUGC
rnacentral:sRNA from 1 species